GGCAAAAUGGCGCUUCAACAGAAUGUUGACGUGUCCUCCUUGGAAAACUGGAUUUGCGAUAAGAAGGGAGACCAAAGGCAAGGCCUUUGGAAAAUGAAAACCUCUUGAUCUAUACACGGAAGAGAAAAUUGUACCAUCAAAAUCAACACGCUCCAUUCUCCUCUCAAACCUUUCUAUUUCGGCUUUUACCCAAUAAUCAAAACAGACUUCUCAUCUUGAAUUUCAGUAAUGGCAAAACCCUUCCUGGAUACUACUUCCACCAUCAUCGAAGAAAGAGAGGAACUCAUUAUUUCACCAGUUGGUGAUUGUAAGCCAAUUCUGAGAACAGCCCAUUUCCUGAAACCUAUUAUAGCCUCCAUUGAUGAACCUGAUCUUCCUUCUUACUCUGUGUCUUUACCUCUGCCACCAGCCUUUGCACCCAGCUUCAAGGUCUCGUUUGGAGCGUGGAGACACCAUCAUCAAGAUUGGAACAAAUGGGUUUCUUGCAUGCAUUCGAUACACCAUUCUGCUUGGGAAAAGGCUGGUAUUUGUGAAGCAAUUCUGAGUUCCACUUAUGAAAUACCUAGAUAUGAUAAUUUGAUUUUUGGGUUAGCUGAGUAUUGGUGUCCUAACACCAACACGUUCAUUUUCCCUUGGGCAGAAGCUACUAUUACGUUAGAGGAUGUUAUGUUUUUGGGGGAUUACCCUGUUCUGGGAUCCCCUGUUUCAUGCUCUGUUCAGAAGAUAGAAUGGAAGAAGAUUGAAGGGAAAUUGAUGGAUACUCAAAAAGUGGUUAGGAGUAAAGCUAAAAAGGUCUGUCAGUAUGCAUGGAUGAGGAAUUUUAUUCAGUGUGGCACUGAAAUAGAGCAUGAGGCAUUUCUUUCACUGUGGUUGUCAAGAUUUGUUUUUCAAAACUCAGCGCAGACAAUUAGGAAAAAUGUUUUCCCCAUAGCGAUCAAUCUGGCUAGAGGGAUCCCAGUUGCUCUUGCACCAGCAGUUCUUGCAAGUAUUUACAGGGAUUUGAGUCGAUUGAAAGGAAUAAUUAUCUCUUCCAAAUUUAAAACUGGUGUAAACAAUGAAUCAAUACUGCACAUCCCCUCGCCAUUUCAGUUGGUGCAACUUUGGGCAUGGGAGAGAUUCCAAGCAUUGCAGCCGAAUCCUAACAUGAUCAUCCGAGGUGAUCCAAGAUUUUCCCGAUGGAACAAAGUGAGAUUUUCAAAAGUUGACGAUGUUGGGUUGGCUUUAGCUUCUGCUGGAGAGAGUUUUGUUUGGCGACCUUAUGCAAAACUUCUGCAUAAUUGGCGCUUUCCCAGGUUUUACAAUGAAAAAGAAGAGUGGCUAUCAACAGAUUUGGGUUCAGAUAGGGAUCUGGAGUCAUUUGCUUGUUGCUUGAGGGUCUCCAAACUUGUUGGAAUAGGAUUUAUAGAAAACUACUUUCCACAUCGAGUAGCAAUGCAAUUUGGAAUUGAUCAGGAUAUUCCAGGUCAUGUAGAACAAUGUGAUGAGACUUCAGAAGUUGGUUGGACAAAUUACUCUAGGCCUAUCGUUGAUUCAAAGUUUUAUGUCCCAUCAAGACUCUUCCAAUCGGGUGUUACAUCUCGAUACUUGAAGUGGUGGAAGCAAUUGGUCUUGGGCCAACAAGAAUCAAAUAAGGUUUCCGUGCAAAGAAGUUCAAUACAGAAGAGGAA
rnacentral:misc_RNA from 1 species